rnacentral:miRNA from 1 species
CAGAAGAGAGAGAGCACAGC